ACUUAAUGGCAAUGGGUGUGGGUUUUUUGUUUGUUUAUGGCACGUGACAGUGCUGACAAACUUCCCAGUGAUGCACAGAAUCUGCAUUUUGGAAGAACUCAGUGGGAACAACUUGUAUGUGCUACAUAUAGGGUCAGAUGGUUUGGUUCAACUGGUGCUAAAGAAUCCACUUCUAAGGUCGUUCAUUUACUUGGCUGGAACUCCAACAAUUUUUGGAUACUAAGUUACCUUUUCACUCUGGGGAUGAUCUUGUAAGAGAGAAGCUAUCAAAGAAAGGAGACCAGGAAAUAGAAAGGUAAAGAGAUGGUGUCUCAGGAAGGAUGCUAGUGGGGAUUUUGUUCUACUCAAACAGCAUGCUGUGCGUUCCUUAUUUAUACAGUUUAUAGACAAAAAAAAAUUAAAAAGAUUUUGAAAGAAGUAAAUCUCUUGAUUCUAGUCCCAUUUAGAAAUUUUGUUAGACCUUUGUC